rnacentral:rRNA from 1 species
UGGGGAAUAUUGCACAAUGGGCGCAAGCCUGAUGCAGCCAUGCCGCGUGUAUGAAGAAGGCCUUCGGGUUGUAAAGUACUUUCAGCGAGGAGGAAGGCGUUGUGGUUAAUAACCGCAACGAUUGACGUUACUCGCAGAAGAAGCACCGGCUAACUCCGUGCCAGCAGCCGCGGUAAUACGGAGGGUGCAAGCGUUAAUCGGAAUUACUGGGCGUAAAGCGCACGCAGGCGGUCUGUCAAGUCGGAUGUGAAAUCCCCGGGCUAAACCUGGGAACUGCAUCCGAAACUGGCAGGCUAGAGUCUUGUAGAGGGGGGUAGAAUUCCAGGUGUAGCGGUGAAAUGCGUAGAGAUCUGGAGGAAUACCUGUGGCGAAGGCGGCCCCCUGGACAAAGACUGACGCUCAGGUGCGAAAGCGUGGGGAGCAAACA